GACAUAUGGAACUAACUACGCCCCUAAGAAGGCACACCUUGGUUGCAGUUAGCACACAAUUAAAGCAACUCUCCAAGUUUUACCUUAAAGUUCAAGAUUGCUAGGAGUUGAAACUACUAGAAAUAUAUUUACAUGCAAGAGUCAAAGAAACUUUGAACUAUUUACGGCCUUUAAUAAUUAAGUAAGGUAUACUCCUGUGAUCAAGACUUGGAGCAUAUUUGUUUCUCUCUGCCUGGUUCCUCUAGAAAUUAGAAACUAUCAUGUGUUGACACAUGUGCUCAUGGAUUAUUGUCCAAAGCAAGUCAUGUGACCAAGCCUAACAUCAACGGGGUGAAGAGCUAUAUGUUCCUUUCUCAAGAGGCACUACAAGUGACAUGCCAACGGGCAGUUUAGCAAAAGCUGGAAAUGCCUUGACAUUUGCAGUACACUGAAACAGUGGCUGGCUUGAAAAAUCCCAAAAUGAUUUUCUGCAGGAGAGCCCUUUUGACUAAUAUGAGG